AGUGAACGCUGGCGGCAGGCCUAACACAUGCAAGUCGAACGGCAGCACAGUAAGAGCUUGCUCUUACGGGUGGCGAGUGGCGGACGGGUGAGGAAUACAUCGGAAUCUACUUUUUCGUGGGGGAUAACGUAGGGAAACUUACGCUAAUACCGCAUACGACCUACGGGUGAAAGCAGGGGAUCUUCGGACCUUGCGCGAUUGAAUGAGCCGAUGUCGGAUUAGCUAGUUGGCGGGGUAAAGGCCCACCAAGGCGACGAUCCGUAGCUGGUCUGAGAGGAUGAUCAGCCACACUGGAACUGAGACACGGUCCAGACUCCUACGGGAGGCAGCAGUGGGGAAUAUUGGACAAUGGGCGCAAGCCUGAUCCAGCCAUGCCGCGUGGGUGAAGAAGGCCUUCGGGUUGUAAAGCCCUUUUGUUAGGAAAGAAAAGCAGCAGGUUAAUACCCCGCUGUUCUGACGGUACCCAAAGAAUAAGCACCGGCUAACUUCGUG
rnacentral:rRNA from 1 species